rnacentral:rRNA from 1 species
AGUGAACGCUGGCGGUAGGCCUAACACAUGCAAGUCGAACGGCAGCACAGUAAGAGCUUGCUCUUACGGGUGGCGAGUGGCGGACGGGUGAGGAAUACAUCGGAAUCUACUUUUUCGUGGGGGAUAACGUAGGGAAACUUACGCUAAUACCGCAUACGACCUACGGGUGAAAGCAGGGGAUCUUCGGACCUUGCGCGAUUGAAUGAGCCGAUGUCGGAUUAGCUAGUUGGCGGGGUAAAGGCCCACCAAGGCGACGAUCCGUAGCUGGUCUGAGAGGAUGAACAGCCACACUGGAACUGAGACACGGUCCAGACACCUACGGGAAGCAGCAGUGGGGAAUACUGGACGAUGGGCGAAAGCCUGAUCCAGCCAUACCGCGUGGGUGAAGAAGGCCUUCGGGUUGGAAAGCCCUUUUGUUGGGAAAGAAAAGCAGCAGGUUAAUACCCCGCUGUUCUGACGGUACCCAAAGAAGAAGCACCGGCUAACUUCGUG